AACGCGAAGAACCUUACCAGCCCUUGACAUCCCGGUCGCGGGAACCAGAGAUGGAUCCCUUCAGUUAGGCUGGACCGGAGACAGGUGCUGCAUGGCUGUCGUCAGCUCGUGUCGUGAGAUGUUGGGUUAAGUCCCGCAACGAGCGCAACCCUCGCCCUUAGUUGCCAUCAUUAAGUUGGGCACUCUAGAGGGACCGCCGGCGACAAGCCGGAGGAAGGUGGGGAUGACGUCAAGUCCUCAUGGCCCUUACACCCUGGGCUACACACGUGCUACAAUGGCGGUGACAGUGGGCAGCCAACUCGCGAGAGUGAGCUAAUCCCAAAAAACCGUCCCAGUUCAGAUUGCACUCUGCAACUCGGGUGCAUGAAGGUGGAAUCGCUAGUAAUCGCAGAACAGCAGGCUGCGGUGAAUACGUUCCCGGGCCUUGUACACACCGACAUA
rnacentral:rRNA from 1 species